GGGGGAGCUCAGUCAUUCAAACAACCUUCAGAGGAGGAAGAAGCAAGAAAAAGAACAAAGGAGGUCCAAGUCUACUCGUGGAUUCAGUCCAAAGACGCCAGUGACACCAGUUUACAUCCAGGAAUGGAGACGAUCCAUCAGGGCUGAAGCUGCUGGAUGAAGAGGUCUGACUCAUGGGAGUCUGGACCUACAGCAGCUGUGAAAAUACAAGCAUUGAUCAUCUCUGAACUCAGUUACAGUGAAAACAAACGGAAACAAAAAGCAGGACCUGCUGCUGAGGAACGUCAUGAUGCUCUCACCACCGUGCUUCACGUCAUGAUGCCACCACCGUGCUUCACGUCAUGAUGCCACCACCGUGCUUCACAUCAUGAUACCACCACCGUGCUUCGCAUCA